UCGGGAAUUUUGGGCAAUGGGCGAAAGCCUGACCCAGCAACGCCGCGUGAGGGAUGAAGUAUUUCGGUAUGUAAACCUCGAAAGAAUGGGAAGAAUAAAUGACGGUACCAUUUAUAAGCUCCGGCUAACUACGUGCCAGCAGCCGCGGUAAUACGUAGGGAGCAAGCGUUGUUCGGAUUUACUGGGCGUAAAGGGCGCGUAGGCGGCGCGGUAAGUCACUUGUGAAAUCUCUGAGCUUAACUCAGAACGGCCAAGUGAUACUGCUGUGCUAGAGUGCGGAAGAGGCAACCGGAAUUCUCGGUGUAGCGGUGAAAUGCGUAGAUAUCAAGAGGAACACCUGAGGCGAGGGCGGGUUGCUGGGCCGACACUGACGCUGAUGCGCGAAAGCCAGGGGAGCAAACG
rnacentral:rRNA from 1 species